CAAUAAAGUCUCGCGCACGUUUCUCUGCCCGCUCUCUUACUGGUGCUCAGUGUGCUGAGGAGGAAGGUUUGCUGAUAUGGGCCUCAGUUGCAGACGUCUUGAAGAUGGCAUUACUGAAUGGCCUGAAGAUGGCACCUAGCUGUUUGCUUCUUCUCUGUUGCAUUUGACUGCAUCCACUAAUCAAGUCGGUUCCUGUUACCACGUAAAAGGAGCUGAGAGUCCUGACUGAGGUCCGUGUCUAGAACCUGAUGAGAUUUCAUCCAGGACCCUUGUGCUGAAGAUUUUCAGAUCAAGUUACUGCACCGGAGGGACAGAGGAAGAGAUGUGGUGUACCUUCAACAUGGUCAUGAUUUUUAACAUGGAAUGCCAAGUUGAUUAUGUAACGACUGAUACAAAUAAAGCUCUGAAAUGUG